CAAUAACUAAUGUAAGUUUUGCUAUCUUGGUUGACACCUUUUGCCAAAACAUGCUUUUCACUUUCAAUUUAUGACAAUUUUAAUGUCUCUAUGAUGCAGGGAGGUUCUUCAGAAAGGCAGGAAGAAGAUAGUUUUCUCAACAUGAAACAAGCAAUGUUCUGAGGGCUCUAAGGACAGCUUCACCAUUCUUUCACCAACUAACCAAUCCAUAUUUGUUCCAAGUCUGGCUUACCACAAUCCCAGCUUCAGCUCAAGUGCACAUUUUUCGUCUAUAUGAGGCUUUAUGUACACUGAAAAUCUGAGACUGGAAUUGUUUAGAAUUCUAUAUUUCUGAAAGAAGCUCUUGAUUCCCAAUUAUGAUUUCAGAUGAUGAUGUGGCACAGUUGCAAAGAAAGCCUCUGUUUUGGAAGACUGACUGGAGUUUCAUUAAAUGCCCAGUUUCCACAAGUUUUAUGCUCUACUAAAUUCUUCAGGCCUUUUGUGUACUUAGAAUCUAAGAGUGGAGUCAUAUGUGCAUAGAUUCUUCCAAAGAAAUUAUUCAGCAAAUGGUGUGGUGUACAUAAGAUACUUGAAUAAGUUUUUAUCAUACACUAAUUUAUACCAUCAACGAUCGCGAAUCUGACU